AUUAAAAAAAAGGAAUUAUUCAGCGAGUGCGGUCGUGUCGGCGGAAAAAAUUGUGAUAAAUAUAGCUAAGGUGAAGCACUGCAAAUGCUUUUAGCACAUAGUCUCGCCCUAGAACACCGCAUCCGAAUAAAAAAGUUAACAAAUAAGUGGCAAGUGCUGGCCAAGCCAAUUGAAUAACGCUCUAAUUUAACUAAAAUAUAUGAAGCGCGAGUGAGAGAGAGAUAUAGUGAGCGAGAUCGAGGUAUUGAAACGCUGCCAAAGAAAUCUUGCCACCAACACACAUUUUUUUGCAUUCACUCUUUUUGCUCUCGGCCCGCUUUCAUCGCGCGUUCAUUGGCGCCUGUGUGAGCGCGUGUGUGUGUGUGCAUAUUUUGCCGCGUUGCCUUGCUGGCUCGUUCGUAGUCUCUGGUAUUUGUUGUUGUCGCUGGGAAUCGCCCCUAAGACGCUCUUGGAAGAGUGUGCAGCAAGAGGAACGUGAAUGUCGCAAAAACACCAGAAACAGUCCUACCAACCGCUCCCCACAGCUGCGGCCGCCAUGGACAACCCGGCGAUGAGCCAGAGCAGUAGCAGUGGCGGCAGUAAUGAUGAUGUCGCCAACAUACCUCCGACUUACUCCUCACAACAGUUGAUGCCCUCGGAUUCAGACAGCAUGGAAGAAUCGCGUCAGCUUCGUCCUACUGGAGCCACAGCCAACCUCGCUGCCGGCCUCGGUCUACCGCCCGUGCCGACACGUCUUUCGGCGGUCGGCCGGUCGCAAUGGUUUACCGUUGCUGUGCUCUGUUUUGUUAACCUCAUCAACUAUAUGGACCGCUUCACGAUUGCGGGGGUGCUGAAGGAUGUGCAAGAAGACUUUAAAAUUGGCAACGACAGUGCGGGUCUCCUGCAGACCGUGUUUGUCAUCUCCUACAUGAUCUGUGCUCCAGUCUUUGGCUAUCUGGGUGAUCGGUACUCCCGGCCCUGGAUCAUGGCCGUGGGUGUGGCCCUGUGGUGCACCACCACGCUGUUGGGAUCGUACAUGCAAAGCUUUGGCUGGUUCAUCACGUUCCGGGCUCUGGUGGGGAUCGGCGAGGCCUCGUACAGCACAAUAGCGCCAACGAUAAUAUCGGAUCUGUUCGUGAACGACAUGCGCUCGAAGAUGCUGGCGAUGUUCUACUUUGCCAUUCCCGUGGGUUCCGGUAUGGGAUAUAUAGUGGGCUCGAAGACGGCUCACCUGGCCAACAACUGGCGCUGGGCGCUGCGCGUGACCCCCAUCCUGGGUGUGGCUGCUGUGCUGCUGAUUAUGCUGAUCAAGGAUCCGGAGCGCGGCCAUAGCGAGGGCUCGCACAACAUGGAGGCCACCUCCUACAGACAGGACAUCAAGGAACUGCUCAAGAAUCGCUCCUUCAUGCUCUCCACGGCCGGAUUCACCUGCGUGGCCUUUGUGGCGGGAGCGCUGGCCUGGUGGGGACCUUCCUUCAUCUUCCUAGGCAUGAAGAUGCAGUCCGGAAACGAAAACAUCGUUCAGGACGACAUCUCGUACAAGUUCGGAAUAGUGGCCAUGCUGGCGGGCCUGAUCGGCGUGCCAAUGGGCUCUGUGCUGGCCCAACGACUGCGCGGGCGCAUGGAGAACUGUGACCCGUACAUCUGCGCCGGAGGACUACUGGUGUCCGCGCCCAUGGUAUUUGCUGCCCUAGUGGUGUCUCGGACGAGCGGAUCGCUGUGCUUCUUCUUCGUGUUUUUGGCCCAAGUGGCCCUCAACCUGUGCUGGUCCAUUGUGGCCGAUAUUCUGCUGUAUGUAGUGGUACCCACGCGUCGAUCUACAGCGGAGGCCUUCCAAAUACUCAUAUCACACGCCCUGGGCGAUGCCGGCAGUCCCUACCUAGUGGGAGCGAUGUCGGAGGUCAUCAUGAAGCAUCUACGCAACCAUCCCGGUGCUUCGGGCCUGACAAAUGAACUGCAAAGCAUGUCCCAGGUGGUGGAGUCGCAACUCAUCAAUGCCACGGAUCUGGCCACGAAAGUAGCCUCGGAGGCUAUCCAUUCGUUCCAAACGAAUCUAACCAAAACAGCUGAAAAGCUGACAGAACAGUUUACGGAAGUCGAGCAGUUUGAGGGCCUUCAGUACGCGCUGUUCUCCACCAGCUUUGUGGAGGUGCUGGGUGGCAUCUUCUUCCUGUUCACCGCCUGCUUCAUACUCAAGGACAAAUACAAGGCAGCGCGAAGUGUAGCUGGCGAAAAGGGACUGGCGUCAGUGGCCGCAAAAGACGUCGAGUCUUUCAAUUCGGAAUGUCUCGUCCUGUGCACGGACAUUGCCCUGCGGGAACGCGCGUGAUAAGUUUAGGCGUCCUCAAAAGAAUACUAUUUUUGGCUUAAGAUCCCGUAAGAUGCUCAGGAACAGCAGCAGCAGCAGCGGGACUACCCGAUUGCCUAAUACCAGCCUAUACUUGAAGUUAUACUGCGCACUCAGAGCACUGAUGGCAUUUUGGGUGAACACAUACUGACUGAAAAUCAUCUUUAAUUUAAUCUCCACACACACAAGCACGAGCACCCAAGUAUUGGUUUCUUUUUGGAAUUGGAUUAUAUGUAGACAUACGAUACAUGCUCAAGUUCCUAUCAGAAGGGAAAGGAUAUACAUAGCCACACGACAUCGAUACAUACCCAAGCAGUUCAGUUAUGUAGAUAUGUACAUGCAUCCACUGAUACACCUCUCAAUCACCCGCUCCCAAACUCGCGAGUCAUAUACAUUAUAAUCGGUUCAUUUUACAUGUAAACGCUUAUUUACAUAGACACGUAGAUAGACCUAGAUCUAGUAUUUUAGGCUAAAGAAAAAUGAAAAUUGGAAACAAUAAAUAAAACAAGCAACCACUUCAUGCGAUUUCGAGGAUGUUCUUCAUCAGGCGUCCACUCCUCUACACUCAAAAUCACCGCUCUCCUCUCUCCCCAAAACUUCUGUAAAUAGUUCAACCCCAUCUUCAGUGUCAGGGGCACCAAACGGAGUAUCUCAGGCAACGUAUGGAACGCAUGAAGUGUCGAUUGUUGCGAUAUUUAUGCAUACUAAAAAACUUAAAUAUAAAGUAUGAAUACAUAUAAUUUGUAAAUAUUAAUAAGCAUUGGGCCAUUGUAUAAGUACAUAGUCUCGAUAAUCAAUCUA